GGAGCAGGUGGGCAGGCCCGUGGCUGGGGGAAUCCGUUAUCGGGGCUCGGGAUCCAUUGGCGCCAACAACUUCUCCCGCGAAGUAGCAGAAGCGCGGGCGGCGGCGCGCGGCGAUGACGUCGGAGGCGCGCGUUCCCCGCGGCCCCGCCCCGAGGCGGGAGCUGCGCACUGGGUGCAGGACCACAGCCCUAGCAACCGAAGGGUUGCUACCUUGUAGGACAGCGAGUGCGCGUGCGAUCGUGGCCGGGAGACGCCCAAUUUGGGAUCUGAGGCUGACUUCCUCUAAGCCGGGUUCCCAGGUGGCUUCCUUCCUGCAGUACACGCACGUGCUGCAAGGGCAGUGCUCUGUAGCCGCUUCCAGAAGUUCUUACUGCCACCACGGUAGGAUGAAGUGUAUUCGAGGCGCCCCGCAAAGAUGGAGUGACAAGCUGUGGUCAGAGAACAACUUUCGGGGAACCUUCCAUCACAGUUUGAGUCUCGAGUGCCUGAAGAGAACAACUGGUUGCGCACAUUUUCUAGGAUGAAUGAGUAUGUCUCCGGAUCCUGAUGACGUCAGAGUUUGAGAGGCUGCGGUCCCCGGAAUUGGAUGAUGCCCUUUCUACCGCGGGAGUCAACCCGGCAGUCUCCUCCCAUCCAUCGUUCUCUAGACACUGUCAUGAUUUAGAGUUAUAAACUUAUUUCUUUAUAGUUUGUGUAUAUUAUAGUAACAAAGCAUUUUUGUGUGUGGAGAAAACAUAUUUUGCCUGUCUUUUCAACACCCCCCCCCACACACACACACACACACUGGAGCUACAGACACCUAUGGCCGUAUCAACUUAAAAAACAAAACAACAAUACAAAACCCCGGAGUCUCACUAUAUGACACUCACUGGCCCAGAACUCACUAUGUAGAUCAGGCAGACCUAGAGCUCCCAGAGAUCUGUCUGCCUCUGCCUCCAGCCCUGGAAUUAAAGGUGUGCACCGCCGCAGCAAGCAAGUUUUCUCUUUUUGCAUUUUUACGGGGAAUUCAAACGCAACACCUCAGGCCUGCAUAGGAAAUGCUUUUACCCCCUAACCAUGUGCCCAACCCCAAUAGAACCUUUCCAAUGCCAAAUUUUAAGUGUUUAUUGCUGGUGUGCAAGAAAGCAAUUAACUGGCUUUUCUAUAUUAUCUUGCAUCUUAUAUCCUAGUUGUUUGUUUGAACCCGGUUUUUCAGUUGAUUAAUUUUGGGAUUUUUUUUCAUAAACAAUCAUGAUCACCUAUGAGCUUACAGUUUUAUUUGUUGCUUCCUAGUGUGUGUGUUUUGUUUCCUUUUCUUGGAUUACCUAGAGAUUCUACUGCGGUACUGGAUCAAGUGAAGAAGAUAGAGUAUUAGGGAAGCCCAAAGAUCAGUCAGCAGGAACUCACACACACACACACACACACACUAACACACACAUCAGUGAGAGUCCACAUCUUUGCCUCCUCCUGCUUUGGUAGGAAAACAUCUAGUUUCUCAUUAAGAAAUUUUACUUUCACUGAGAUACACAGAUAUACAUUUUGUUUAAUCUUUAAGGUUUUUUUUUUUAAGAUUUGUUUACUUAUUCUUAUUUUAUGUGAGUGUAUCUGUUUGCCCAUAUAUAUAUAUAUAUAUAUAUAUGACGCGUAUGCCUGGAGCCUUUGGAGGUCAGAAAAGGGCAUCAGAUUCCCUCAACUAGAAUUGCAGCUGGUUGUGGGCUGCCAUGUGAGUGCUGGGAAUCAAACUCAAGACCUCUGCAAGAGGAACAAGUGCUCUUAACUGAUGAACUACUUUCCAGCCUCUGUAAAUACAGUUGUUUUUUUUAUUAAAUACAUAAAUAUAUAUAUAUAUAUAUAUAUAUAUAUAUAGAGAGAGAGAGAGAGAGAGAGAGAGAGAGAGAGAGAGAGAGGCUGGAGAGAUGGCUCAGCGGUUAAGCGCACUGACUGCUCUUCCAAAGGUCCAGAGUUCAAAUCCCAGCAACCACAUGGUGGCUCACAACCACCUGUAAUGGGAUCUGACGCCCUCUUCGGGAGUGUCUGAAGACAACUACAGUGAACUUACAUAUAAUAAACGAAUAAAUAAAUCUUUAAAAAAAAAAGAA
rnacentral:lncRNA from 1 species